rnacentral:lncRNA from 1 species
ACUUGUGUUCUUCCUUUCCAAUCAAGUUUCCGGUUUUCCCGACUCAAACUGUCCACCACAUUUCCACAUCAGAGGCCUCGUUACCUACAAGCUUUUUCACAUACUCACAACAUCUCUCAUGGUUAGGGUGUUUACACUCACAGCACAACAUGCAAUACCAAACUCUUAAAUUUGAAUAAAUUCUAAUUUCACUACAACAACAGAUUCCAC